GGCGUCCGAGUUGUAAUUUGUAGAGGAUGCUAUUGGGUUGCCACCGGUCUAAGUUCCUUGGAACAGGACGUCACAGAGGGUGAGAAUCCCGUACGUGACCGGCCAGGCGCCUUCUGUAUAGCUCCUUCGACGAGUCGGGUUGUUUGGGAAUGCAGCCCUAAAUGGGAGGUAAAUUUCUUCUAAAGCUAAAUACCGGCCAGAGACCGAUAGCGCACAAGUAGAGUGAUCGAAAGAUGAAAAGCACUUUGGAAAGAGAGUUAAAAAGCACGUGAAAUUGUUGAAAGGGAAGCGCUUGCAAUCAGUCUCGACGGCGGCUGUUCGGCCUCUCUUCUGAGUGGUUUAUUCAGUCGCCGCCGGGCCAGCAUCAGUUUUGGCGGUCGGAUAAAGGCGCGGGGAAUGUGGCUCCUCCGGGAGUGUUAUAGCCCCGCGUGCAAUACGGCCCGCCGGGACUGAGGUCCGCGCUUCGGCUAGGAUGCUGGCAAAAUGGUUGUAAGCGGCCCGUCUUGAAACACGGACCAAGGAGUCUAACAUCUACGCGAGUGUUUGGGUGUCAAACCCGUGCGCGCAAUGAAAGUGAACGGAGGUGGGAACCGCAAGGUGCACCAUCGACCGAUCCUGAUGUCUUCGGAUGGAUUUGAGUAAGAGCGUAGCUGUUGGGACCCGAAAGAUGGUGAACUAUGCCUGAAUAGGGUGAAGCCAGAGGAAACUCUGGUGGAGGCUCGCAGCGGUUCUGACG
rnacentral:rRNA from 1 species